rnacentral:rRNA from 1 species
GACGAACCGUGCGAACGUUGUUCGGAUUCACUGGGCUUAAAGGGCGCGUAGGCGGAAGGUCAAGUCCGAGGUGAAAUCUUUCGGCUCAACCGGAAAGGUGCCUUGGAUACGGAUCUUCUCGAGGGAGGUAGGGGCAUGUGGAACUUCCGGUGGGAGCGGUGAAAUGCGUAGAUAUCGGAAGGAACGCCGGUGGCGAAAGCGACGUGCUGGACCUCUUCUGACGCUGAGGCGCGAAAGCCAGGGGAGCAAACGGG